rnacentral:tRNA from 1 species
CUGGGGGUAUAGCUCAGUUGGCAGAGUGCUUGCCUCGUGUGCACUAAGUCCCUGGGUUCGAUCCCCACCCAGAGG